rnacentral:rRNA from 1 species
UACAGAGGGUGCGAGCGUUAAUCGGAAUUACUGGGCGUAAAGCGUGCGUAGACGGUUAUUUAAGUCGGGUGUGAAAGCCCCGGGCUCAACCUGGGAAUUGCAUUCGAGACUGAAUAGCUAGGGUACGGUAGAGGGAAGCGGAAUUUCCGGUGUAGCGGUGAAAUGCGUAGAUAUCGGAAGGAACAUCAGUGGCGAAGGCGGGUCUCUGGGCCGUAACUGACGCUGAGGAGCGAAAGCAUGGGGAGCGAACAGG